rnacentral:rRNA from 1 species
AUUGAACGCUGGCGGCAGGCCUAACACAUGCAAGUCGAACGGAGCGGCGGACGGGCGAGUGAUGCCUGGGAAUCUAACUGGUAGUGGGGGAUAACGUCCGGCAACGGGCGCUAGUACAGCCUACUAUCCAAUGAGCCUAGGUCGGUUGAGCUAGUUGGUGGGGUAGAGGCCUACCAAGGCGACGAUCCGUAACUGGUCUGAGAGGAUGAUCAGUCACACUGGAACUGAGACACGGUCCAGACUCCUACGGGAGGCAGCAGUGGGGAAUAUUGGACAAUGGGCGAAAGCCUGAUCCAGCCAUGCCGCGUGUGUGAAGAAGGUCUUCGGAUUGUAAAGCACUUUAAGUUGGGAGGCGUUACCAACAGAAGAAGCACCGGCUAACUCCGUGCCAGCAGCCGCGGUAAUAC